rnacentral:rRNA from 1 species
CACAUAGGGGGCGAGCGUUAUCCGGAAUUAUUGGGCGUAAAGCGUGCGUAGGCGGUCUGUUAAGUCUGGCGUGAAAUACCACAGCUUAACUGUGGAGGGUCGUUGGAAACUGAUAGACUUGAGUACGGUAGAGGUAAGUGGAAUUCCAAGUGGAGCGGUGGAAUGCGUAGAUAUUUGGAGGAACACCAGUGGCGAAGGCGGCUUACUGGGCCGGAACUGACGCUGAGGCACGAAAGCGUGGGGAGCAAACAGG